CACAGCAGCGAUGAAUUCAGUACUGCCCCAGUCUGAUCACCGUGACUGAAAGGUAUUUUCUAAGCUGUG